AUUAAUUUUUUUUUAAAAAGUCUUCAUAGCAUUGCAUAGUUCACAUGUUUCCUGAUGUGACCGGAUUUCAGUGUAGACUGAUCUGUGUGCAUCAUACUCAACUUAUUUUGUGUGUGAAUUCAUUCAUCUACUUUAUUUGCAUCAUAAUUAUUGAAUUCCAAUGUUGGCCCCCAAACACUGUGCCAUGAUUUUACUAUCCUUUUUUUUGUUGUUUUUUUUUCUUUUAGGUUUAUGGUUGUUGAAUAUUAACAUUUAUUGAUUAUACCCAGAACUUGAAGCUUUGUUAACUCU